UACGGAGGGUGCAAGCGUUAUCCGGAUUCACUGGGUUUAAAGGGUGCGUAGGCGGGCAGGUAAGUCAGUGGUGAAAUCUCCGGGCUUAACCCGGAACUGCCGUUGAUACUAUCUGUCUUGAAUAUAGUGGAGGUGAGCGGAAUAUGUCAUGUAGCGGUGAAAUGCUUAGAUAUGACAUAGAACACCCAUUGCGAAGGCAGCUCGCUACACUAUCAUUGACGCUGAGGCACGAAAGCGUGGGGAUCAAACAGG
rnacentral:rRNA from 1 species